UUCUAUAAGAACUAAUUUAUAGUAAAACCUGCUCAAUGUUUAUAUCAAUAGCCGCAGACUAACUGUGCUAAGGUAGCAUAAUCACUUGCUUCUUAAUUAGAAGAUAGAAUGAAAGGUUAAACACCCAGCUUCUGUCUCUUUAUAUAAAAUGAAUUUAAGAAUAAAGUAAAAACUCUUUUUUAGAAUAGUAGGACGAUAAGACCCCGAUAAACUUAUCUUUUAGUUGGGGAAACAUAAUAACUAUAAUUUAUUUUAAAAUCAUUUCACACCUAUAAAAAUUAAAAACGAUCCAGUUACUACGGGGAUAACAGCGCUAUUUCUUUUAAGAGACCUAAUCAAAAAAGAAGUUUACGACCUCGAUGUUGAAUUAGGAACCCCAAUACAAAGCAAAAAUUAUUAGGG
rnacentral:rRNA from 1 species